UACAGAGGUCCCAAGCGUUGUUCGGAAUUACUGGGCGUAAAGCGUGUGUAGGCGGCCGCGCAAGUCGGAUGUGAAAGCCCCGGGCUCAACCCGGGAAGUGCACCCGAUACUGCAUGGCUCGAGUACUGGAGAGGUUGGUGGAAUUCUCGGUGUAGAGGUGAAAUUCGUAGAUAUCGAGAGGAACACCGGUGGCGAAGGCGGCCAACUGGACAGAUACUGACGCUGAGACACGAAAGCGUGGGGAGCAAACAGG
rnacentral:rRNA from 1 species